AACCACAAGUGUUGAAAAUUUAGAAAACCCUGGAGUACUUCAACAAUCAACAACAAAAUAGAAGUCGUGUCCAGGACCUUGUCCAUGAGGCUGCAGCCUGCGACCUUUGGUGGUCUCAAGAAGAAACCGUGAGACUUGGGGAGCCCUUCCCGUUGAGGUCCAGGUUGUCAUUCCACUAGACCAGCUGUUGGUGAGCCAAUGGCAGAAGUCUGCUUCCCACAACCACAGAAAGAGUUAUCAUAACAGCUGAAUCUUCAAAGAAGUUGACUCAUGGCCUCCAUAGUCAUUGACAGUUUAAACAAUGAAGAAAUAUCAUCCUAAGAUUUUUACAGGUAAUUUGGA